rnacentral:lncRNA from 1 species
UCUCUCACAUUCACUGACUCUGUCUUUCCCCUUCUUUCUCUCCCUUCCCCUCCUCUCCCCUCGCCUCCCCCUCCUCUCCCCUCCCCUCCCCUUCUUCUUAACUUAUCUGUGUCUCUCUUUCUGUCUCUCUCUGUGUCUGUCUCUCUCGGUAAUCACCUGCGUACACUUUCUGUGAUAUUCACCCUAAAAGAUCCUCAGCCAAAGAAGAGCUAAACUCUGUAUUUUCAUGUUUUUAGAGCCUCCUCGCAGAAGGUGAAUGCAUGUAGCUUUGGAGGGUUUACUUCCCAGGUAACAGGAAAAGAGGCUGCAGGGGAGAGAUUCUGGAAAGAACCCAAAAGUGGUCCGCACCACCCGGACCCCGUCACAGGAUCUUCCUAUUUACCCCUGUCCAGUCCAACCUCACUCUGUUGGCUCCCAUGAGUUCCCUGUCUGCUCCCUCUGUGUUCCAGGAACUUUCCUUUUCAGGUUUCCAGGAACCUGACUCAGAUGUCCCCACUCAACCAGACCUCAGUGUCUUGCUCCCAGGGCACACUUAUCCUCCCUCCAACUCCAGGAGCCCCUCUUCUACACAGAAAUCUAUCCCUGUAUUUUCUCCAGGCCUUUUCGUUUCCUUUCUAGCCACCUUCCCAAAUGCAAACCCUGGUACGGCCACACACCUGAAUUUUUUUUUUAAGAUUUUAUUUUUUAUUUAUCCAUGAGAGACACAGAGAGGCAGAGACAUAGGCAGAGGGAGAAGCAGCCUCCCCACAAGGAACCUGAUGUGGGACUCAAUCCCAGGAUCCCAGGAUCAUGUCCUGAGCUGAAGGCAGAUGCUCAACAACUGAGCCACCCAGGUGUCCCCACACCUGAAUUUAACACAGGCUUGGUAAAUAGGGGAAUGAGGUUAGUGUUACAAUGUGGAUAUAUCAUUAGAUCACUUCUAAUUAUUAUCUGCAUGUCAACGGUGUGUGCCCCAAGAAAGAGCAGUUGACCAUGAAGUUCCCUCGGAAACCACUGAAUUCAGUACUAUACCCGGUGCCCGUUGGCCCUCACCCUUUGUUGUAGCUUGGUUUAGCAACAGAAAUUAGCCCAAGACCCUGAGCCAGAGCCACCCCUCAGGGGCAGCUCCACAAUUCAUGUAAAGCUGCCAGCUGCCUCCUCACUUGUGACUUCUGAAUAAUGAUCAGGGUAAACUCCUGUGGACCAGCAGCCCCAGUUAGGACCACUCUGAUCCUGUCCAGAUCUAUCGAAUCAGAAUCUGUUAUUUAGAAAACCCUCCAGUGAAACAUAGGCUCAGGUAAGUUAAACAUCACUCUGGGAGGGACACUGGGGGCAGGAGGACACAUCCUAGCACUAAUAAACCAUCUGAUGUAUUUCACUGUGGAAACUAUACCUAGAGGCUGUUGGAGGGGUGGGAAAAAACCUGUGAUGGGAACACAGAAAGGUAAACAAACAAACAAAAAAAAAAAAAGAUGAACCAUUUAAUUCCUUCCCUCUUCCAUCCCCGAAAAAACCAAAGAAAUUGUAUAGGAAAAUAAAUGAAUCAGAUGUGAUACUUGGAUCCAUAAAAUUAUAGCUACAGAACCAUAGCAUUGGAAACAUGGAACAAAAGGGAUCUAUUUCUAAUGGUGAUUAAAGAGCUGUAUCCAUCAGGGUUCUCUAGAGAAACAGAACCAACAGGAUCUAUACAGAUGUAUAGAAAAAGAUGUGUUAGGAGGGCUGGUUUGUGGGAUUAUGGAGGCAGACGAGCCCCAUGAUCUGUGCCCUGCAGACUGGAUGCCCAGGAAAAGUGAUGGCCUACCAGUCCAAACUCCAAGGCCUGAGAACCAGGGGAGCCAAUGUCUGAGGGAUGGAGAAGAUGGAUGUCCCAGCUCAAGCAGAGAGCAGAUUUGCCCUUCCUGUUUUUUCCAUUCGGGCCCUGCAUGGAUUGGAUGGUGCCCGUCCACCUUGUUGAGGGAAACCUACUUUAACCUGUCUACAGAAUCAAAUGGUAAUCUCUUCCAGAAACAUUCCCGCAGACACAUUCAGAAAUAAUGUUUUACCAGCUAUCUGGGCAUUGCUUAGGCCCAGUCAAUUGACAAAGGAAAUUAACUGUCACAAGAACUAAAUCAUCAUCGACUUAAUUGCUAGGGCUUUGAAAAGUGAAAUCUAAAAAUGAUUAUGUCAAGAAAAAGCAACAGAAAUAGGUUAUAGUUUCAGGGCGCCUGGGUGGCUUAGUCAGUUGAGGGAUGGACUCUUGGUUUUGGCUCAGGUCGUGAUCUCAUGGGUGGGGUGGGGAGGUCUGCUUGAAGAUUCCCUCCCUCUGCCCUCCACCGCCCCC